UACGAGGGGGGGCGAGCGUUGUUCGGGAUUAUUGGGCGUAAAGGGUGCGUAGGCGGUUUGGUAAGUCUGAUGUGAAAUCUAUGGGCUCAACUCAUAGUCUGCAUCGGAAACUGCCGGGCUUGAGUGUGGGAGAGGUGAGUGGAAUUCCUGGUGUAGCGGUGAAAUGCGUAGAUAUCAGGAGGAACACCUGUGGCGAAAGCGGCUCACUGGACCAUAACUGACGCUGAUGCACGAAAGCUAGGGGAGCAAACAGG
rnacentral:rRNA from 1 species